UAAAAUCUUCAGGGCAGGGUGUAAUUCCCGACCGGCGGUAUAGUCCGCGAGCUGCUAAUGCAGUUGACUUGGUGAGAUUCCAAGACCGACAGUAAAGUCUGGAUGAGAGAAGGUUUUG
rnacentral:ncRNA from 2 species